rnacentral:rRNA from 1 species
UUGGGAAUAUUGGACAAUGGAGGAAACUCUGAUCCAGUGACGCCGCGUGAAGGAAGAAGGUCUUCGGAUUGUAAACUUAUUUUAUCAGGGAAGAAGAAAGUGACAGUACCUGAAGAAAAAGGACCGGCAAACUACGUGCCAGCAGCCGCGGUAAUACGUAGGGUCCAAGCGUUAUCCGGAUUUACUGGGUGUAAAGGGCGAGUAGACGGCGCUGUAAGUCAGCUGUGAAAACUUAGGGCUCAACCUUAAGCCUGCAGCUGAAACUGUGGUGCUAGAGUGCAGGAGAGGUAAGCGGAAUUCCUAGUGUAGCGGUGAAAUGCGUAGAUAUUAGGAGGAACACCAGUGGCGAAGGCGGCUUACUGGACUGUAACUGACGUUGAGGCGCGAAAGUGUGGGGAGCAAACAGG